AGUGUCUGACAUGACAUGUGAUGUGUUGUGUUGUAUGGAUGUGUUGGUGGUUAUUGUGUCGGGGGUACGCCCGGUCCCUUUCCGAACCCGGAAGCUAAGCCCGAUUGCGCUGAUGGUACUG
rnacentral:rRNA from 1 species